rnacentral:rRNA from 1 species
AACGAACGCUGGCGGCAGGCUUAACACAUGCAAGUCGAGCGAAGACUUCGGUCUUAGCGGCGGACGGGUGAGUAACACGUGGGUGAUCUGCCCUGCACUUCGGGAUAAGCCUGGGAAACUGGGUCUAAUACCGGAUAUGACCUCCUAUCGCAUGGUGGGUGGUGGAAAGAUUUAUCGGUGCAGGAUGGGCCCGCGGCCUAUCAGCUUGUUGGUGGGGUAAUGGCCUACCAAGGCGACGACGGGUAGCCGACCUGAGAGGGUGACCGGCCACACUGGGACUGAGACACGGCCCAGACUCCUACGGGAGGCAGCAGUGGGGAAUAUUGCACAAUGGGCGAAAGCCUGAUGCAGCGACGCCGCGUGAGGGAUGACGGCCUUCGGGUUGUAAACCUCUUUCAGCAGGGACGAAGCGCAAGUGACGGUACCUGCAGAAGAAGCACCGGCUAACUACGUGCCAGCCGCCGCAGUAAAAC